rnacentral:lncRNA from 1 species
CCUGCCUUGCCAGGGAGCCUGCCCCGACAUGAGGUGGGAAGCAGGGUAGGAGUGAGGCUUCUCAAUGUAGUGGUUGCCCUGACCCAGCUGUCCUGUCUCAGGAGAGAGUGACCGAGCAUGUCCAGUAGAUUCCAGCUGCUCAGACUGGAGCAAAGCCAAGAAAACCCAGCUUCUCAUUUCUUCUUGGUUGUAAGAGAAUGGAAGGACAUUAUUGUUAAAGAGAAACUUGAGAGGGGCUACAAACAUCCAGAGCCACCUCCCUCUCGCCCUCACCAGCAAGUUGGUACACAGACUUCUCACAUGCUUCAAUUCAGGCUCCAGAUUCUCUGGUCUCUGAGAGACAAAAGGAAUUUCAGUGCAUUCCAUGCGCCUAACAUCUUCCCACAGCAAGAGGAGAGGUGA